rfam:Bryantella formatexigens DSM 14469 B_formatexigens-1.0.1_Cont9.1, whole genome shotgun sequence.
GCGGAAUUGAUGGAAUUGGCAGACAUGCAGGAUUUAGGUUCCUGUGGUUUACACCGUGAGGGUUCAAAUCCCUCAUUCCGCA